ACAUGUUUAUAGCAUAGCGUUAAUGCACCAGAUCUCAUUAGAACUUCAUAGUUAAGCACGCUCAGGAUAAAGUAGUACUAGGAUGGGUGACCUCCCAAGAGGUCCUAGUAUUUUACAUGCC
rfam:Picea glauca, whole genome shotgun sequence.